rnacentral:rRNA from 1 species
AGCAGCCGCGGUAAUUCCAGCUCCAAUAGCGUAUAUUAAAGUUGUUGCAGUUAAAAAGCUCGUAGUUGAAUUUCGGGGUUAGUAGGUUGGUCAUGCCUCUGGUAUGUACUGGUCUCACUGAUUCCUCCUUCCUGAUGAACCGUAAUGCCAUUAAUUUGGUGUUGCGGGGAAUUUGGACUGUUACUUUGAAAAAAUUAGAGUGUUUAAAGCAAGCUAACGCUUGAAUACAUUAGCAUGGAAUAAUGAAAUAGGACGUUCGAUCCUAUUUUGUUGGUUUCUAGGAUUGACGUAAUGAUUAAUAGGGAUAGUUGGGG